ensembl:lncRNA
GUUUUUUUUAUUGAAUGCAGUAUCUUCAAGCUGUACUUCAAAGGUGGAGAUGGGGAACAGGUUUAAUGUCAGAUAGCUUGGAAAUGAUAGCAAAUCAUCAUUCCUUCUUAGAAACCCAUGGUGCCUUCUGUGUGUCAGAAGCUCUUGAGAUGUGCUGCAAACAGAUCUGUUUUGACCUGAAUCCCCUAAACUUUGAGUGCCUUUUAAAGAUGCAAUGCUGAUGAAUAAAACAGUAAGCUAGGAACACACUCUAGAACACUGGCAUGAAGACUGUGAGGCGGAUAUUCUGAGGACGUGAAAGUGCCCGGGGACGGAGCCCUGGGAAGGCUGGCGGAGAGAACACAGAUGGCAUUGGACAGCAGCACUCACCUGAGUUUUGAUCACACCUUGUAAAGACACUCAUGAAGGAGGACUUACAGACCUGCUUUAAAAAGUGGCUCGAGACAGACUGGGAGGAGAAAGUCGUGGGGCGUCAGGAAGAGCCCAAAGUGCUGCCACCCAGAGCCAAGGAGCGCUGAGGCUGGCUGGUGUUGCCAGAGGGAGGAAGAGGAUUGUCUCUGGAGGUUUCUGAGGGAGAUGGCCCUGCGACACCCUGAUCUCAGCUUCCAGCCUCCUGAACUGUGGGACCACAGACUUCUGUUGUUCAGAGGCACCAGAGCCUCGCUCCUUUCCUGAGACCCAGGGAGCUGGCAAAGGACUAACCUUGUGGGACUACUUGGACGAUGGAAUGGAAGAAGGCUCUUGGGCCAUGCUGUUUCUGCCUUGGAGCCAACCGUGCAUGGACUGAACCCAAUAAAAUCGUGAGCCAAAAUAAACCUCUCCUCUUUUAAGUUGUGAGUGUCAAGUAUUUUGUCCCAGGUACAGGUCAAGCUCAAGGUGACUGAGUGGCGGUCCAGACUCCCCACUGAGAGGAUGGGCUGUGUUCCAUAGGGCCUCUGGCCAGGUGGCCUGUGGAUUUCAGCUUUUAGGCUCGGGUGUCGACCCAUGAGCUCUCCUAGGUUGAGUUGGAGGAGAGAUGGAGAAGGAAGGAAGAGGGCACCAAGGGAAGAGGCAACAUCUCCAGAGGAAGAGCCAGGGGCCCUCAGUUCCCUCCACAAGUUUGUGAGCAGUCCCACCCAGAGCCAGCCUGGCAGCUUCAGCACCACAGGACAUGUGAGAGCCCCUGGGAUGGGCCAGCCAAGGCAUCUCUCUCACAGCUGGGAAAAUGAGAGCUCAGAGUUUGGGAGUGGCUGGCAAGAAGUCCCACAUCUAAUUAGUGCCAGAGUUAUAUUUUCAGUAUUCAUGGGAUUAUCAGAAGUAUAUACUAGAGUUGCAAUUUAUAUUAGCAGGAUGGUUGGGUCAGAAAACAUUCUGCUGGAGUAAAGUAUGAAGGGACAGUUGCAGAAAGGAAGAAAAUUAAUUCAAAGGCACAAAUAUCCGGGAGAAAGAGGGCUUACCAAUCAGGGUGGCAUUUGAUUGAUGAACACAUGAGUUUAUUGUUCUCAGGUUAGUUUACAGGGUUCAAGGCUGUGGGCUCUAAGUGUUUUUUUACCAAACAGGAUUUAGAAUUCUUAGCAGAAUCCCUGGAAAUAUUUCUUCACCAUUUUAUUUUUAAAACCCCCUUAUGCCACUUGGAUUUGCACUGCCUGAGUGGCUGAUUUGCCUCCAAACUGGAAACUUUGCCUAGUUAAAGAGCCAUGCAGAACUGAAACCAGCAUGUGGAGCAGGCAGCUCUGAAAAGGAGCCCUUCCCAGUGGGCAGGGCCUCUGCAGUGGUCACCAGAGGGUAGGUACGCUUUGGUGUUUCAAGCUGGGGAGAACCAGCAAUUAGACAUACAUUGUGUUUUGG